GGUAUAAUCCAGUUACCAAGAAUGUGACUGUCAAAAGUGAAGGCCUAUUCAGGUCAUCUUCACACUUGUUCAAUCCUCAACAAUUUCAAACAAUGAAUGAGAGAAAAGAAAGGCAGCUAGCACCAGCACCACUGAUGCCAGCGAUCCAUCUACUAAAGAGUUUGAAACUUUCAUUAAAGACCUUUCAGCUGAGAAUAAUUUGGAAAGCCUCAUGUUAUGUUCCUCCUCAAAUCUGGCUCUUUUUCCAUACCAUUCCUACAAAGAGACAUCAUGGUUCAUUAGA
rnacentral:lncRNA from 1 species